CUUGGUGCUUGAGUGAGUAAAAGCAGCUCCUCGAGCUGAGGAGGGGCCGGGCUCAGGCAGCAGCAUUCAGUCAGGAGAGCAGGAGGAGGAGUGCUCGGAAGCCAGAGGGGGAAUGGCCACGAGACAUCAACUACAAAGCAAUGUGCAAGGAGUGAAGUGCUUCCAGUAUGUACACAGCUUAGUAACAAAAACAAAUAUGACAAAUGAGAAGUGUUUAUCUGGUAAUGCAGUCGUACUCUCAUUAUUUUCUUUUCUCAGUAGGUAAUGGAUGAAAGUUAAUUACUUCAAUUUUGCAAUGUAAAAAUUGUAACUUGUUUCCUUUAAAGGAGUCCAACAAUAAAACACGUGGGUUUAGACUGUGGAGGCUGUUUCUCCCAAUCACACCCCUCUAGAUCACACGAUCCCCCCCAGGAGGACAAUACAGUCCCCAGAAGAGUCACCCACAAAUACAAGGGAUUCCAGGAUUAUAUAUUAAAUUAUAUAAGCUCUUUAAAAAGUUUAAAUGACCAAUUAAAUCAUCAUUCUAUAUGCAUCCAUUCACUCGAGCGUCCCACCCAGAAACUACAAAACAGUUCUGCUGAUGUUUGUCUGUCCGUCCUAGCUGGAAAACUCAAAAACCAGUUUUAUUUGCUGUUGACCAUCAUCCACCUGUGCCUUACUCAGUGUUUCUUUUUAUCUGAUUUAGUGCUCAGCUCAGAUAAAAUAAUUAUUGUGGUUGAUUUUAACAUCCAUGUAGAUGCUAACAAUGACAGCCUCAACCUUAAUUAUUAGACUCAGUUUGCUUUUUUCAAAAUGUAGUCCAAAACACAUUGAUGCAGAUACUGCCUGUGACACAUUUCUCACAGUCGCAGCACGGCUGCAGACACAGUAUUCAGAGGCAUUUUUCAUUUUCUGUUUUUAAUCACGUCUCAUUGGACUCCACUUUGCUUCCACCAGUUUGUGAACUGUCCGGUAGGAAUAACAGCACAAUUGAUCUCAUGUAUGCUAAUGUGAGGGAUGCAUACAGAGUCACACCUCUACCCCAACUCUGAAAGUCAGACCAUAACUACAGUACACUCCUCUGGUUAAAAGGCAGUCUGCUUCACCACACUGUAUCGGGAAAUGCCCUGAGAGACUGCUUUGAAUCCGCUGACUGGGAUGUGCUGCUGGAUCCACGUGAUAAGGACAAUGAAGGGACCGCCAGCUGUCUGACUGACUACCUGAACAUCUGUGUGGAUGUGGUCUCCCCUGUCAAGACAGCACAAUGUUCUUCUAAUAACAAACCUUGGAUAACACAGGUGGUGAAGGGUGUCCUCAACAGGAAGAAGGGGACCUUCAGAAUAAAGGACAGGACAGUUAUCAAGUCAGCACAGCGGUAGGUGAAGCAGUGCCUGAAGGUGGCCAAGGACACCUACAGGAAAAAACGUGGAGGAGAGGCUACCUGGAUCGGCAGCUAGCCCACAGAAAGACCACACUAUAUCAGGCUGAAGGAUAUCAAGUCUUACGCUCAGCAGCACUGGUGCACCUCAGGGCAUGGUGCUGGCCCCUCUUCUCUUCACCUUAUACACUUCAGACUUCUGCUCAGUGAUGUGUCAUGGUCAGAAAUUUGCAGAUGACACAGGCAUCAUGGGGUGUAUAAGGAAUGGCAGAGAAGAUGAGAAGAGAAAUCUGGUGAGUGACUUUGUCUGGAGCCAGAGGAACCUCCUACAGCUCAACACCUCAAAGAACAAGGAGUUUAUCGUAAACUAUGGAAAGUCCACACCAUGUCAUUGACCAGUUCUUUUUAGUUUUUAUUCUUCCUAUAGUGUGUGUGUGUGUGACUAUGAAAAUCCCUGUGUUUUUCUCACAAAUGUACUUGAUAAUGAGGGUGGGAAGCUGCAGCAAUGCCCCCAGAAGCGUGGGGGCAGACAGAGUUGGAAACAGGACAACCGCACCAUCAGCCAGUCAUCAACCAGUUCUGACAGAGGGAAAUGAGGUUGAGGUUGUGGGAAACUACAAGUAUUUUGGAGCUUAGCUAGACAACACACUGGACUGGUUUUGCAACACGGCUCACAGGAUAACAUCUGCAGGAAACUCCUGUGGAUGUUCUACCAGUCUGUGGUCACCAGUGGGAUCUUUUACGUGGUGGUGUGCUGGGGGAGAAGUACAUCCAGAAAGGACUCCUGCAGGUUGGAGAAGCUGAUCAGACAGGCUGGCUCUGUGGUUGGCAUGAAGUUGGACUCUCUGCUGACAGGCAGAGAAGAGGACCCAUGGACAAACAUCUGAAUAUUAUGGAUAAUGUCAGCCACCCUCUGCACACUGUCAUCAACGCACAGAGAAGCCUGAUCAGUGACAGGCUGCUCCUCCCCAGCAGGACUAAAAGCCCCUUUGGAAGGAGUAGCAGCAGGGGGAGGAGAGGGGUGGAUGAUGUAGACGCAGUGACCUAAACAAACACACUGACAGUUGGUGUUGUGCUCCUGGAACCAUGAUUUCCCCAUGGGGACCUCCCCAAGGGAUUAUUGCAACAGAUGGUCGCCCCUCUCCGAGCCUGGUUCUGCUGGAGGUUUCUUCCUGUUAAAAGGCUUUAAACAAGUUUAUUCCUUCUCAUUGUUGCCUGUUUCAGUUUAAAUGUUGUUUUCAAUAAAU
ensembl:lncRNA